rnacentral:rRNA from 1 species
AGUGAACGCUGGCGGUAGGCCUAACACAUGCAAGUCGAACGGCAGCACAGUAAGAGCUUGCUCUUACGGGUGGCGAGUGGCGGACGGGUGAGGAAUACAUCGGAAUCUACUUUUUCGUGGGGGAUAACGUAGGGAAACUUACGCUAAUACCGCAUACGACCUACGGGGGAAAGCAGGGGAUCUUCUGACCUUGCGCGAUUGAAUGAGCCGAUGUCGGAUUAGCUAGUUGGCGGGGUAAAGGCCCACCAAGGCGACGAUCCGUAGCUCGUCUGAGAGGAUGAUCGGCCACACUGGAACUGAGACACGGUCCAGACUCCUACGGGAGGCAGCAGUGGGGAAUAUUGGACAAUGGGCGCAAGCCUGAUCCAGCCAUACCGCGUGGGUGAAGAAGGCCUUCGGGUUGUAAAGCCCUUUUGUUGGGAAAGAAAAGCAGCAGGUUAAUACCCCGCUGUUCUGACGGUACCCAAAGAAUAAGCACCGGCUAACUUCGUG